UCUGGAAGACAGCCGAGUCAGGUACCCAGGGCGAGGACAGGGCUUCUAUCUGGGGCACCCUGGAGGACUUUGUGGAAGAAGCCUACCCACUGGUUGGGCCCGGAGGAGGGUCAGGAUUUCAACAAGCAGAGACGGAGGCAUUUCAUGCCAGGGCCAAUUCCAGAGGCCUCGAAUGCCCAGCUAAAGCACUGGAUUUGAUCCUGCUGCCCCUGGGAAGGA
rnacentral:lncRNA from 1 species